rnacentral:lncRNA from 1 species
UCCAGCAUUACCCAGAACGCCAUGCAGGACCAGAGCGCCACAGCCGGGACUCCCGUGAUGGCUGGGGGGGCUGUGGCUCCGACAGGAGGAUGAGCGAGGGCCGGGGGCUGCCUCCUCCCCCCAGGGGCAGACAUGACUACUCGGGGGACCGUGGCUGAAGAGAGGAUGACUGAGCAUGGCAGGGCACAGCUGAUGGGGGCAUGAUGGACAGGGAUCACAAGAGAUGGCAAGGUGGUGAGAGAAGCAUGUCCGGUCACUCCGGGCCUGGCCACAUGAUGAACUGAGAAGGGAUGUCAGGGCUCGGCAGCUUUGCCUCAGGCGGGGCCUCCCGGGGCCACCCCAUCCCACACGGUGGUAUGCAAGGCGGGUUCGGAGGCCCGAGCAGGGGGAGCAGGCCCAUCAAUGCCCGCUUCACUCGCCGCUA